rnacentral:rRNA from 1 species
GACGAACGCUGGCGGCGUGCUUAACACAUGCAAGUCGUACGGUAAGGCCCUUUCGGGGGUACACGAGUGGCGAACGGGUGCGUAACACGUGAGUAACCUGCCCACAACUUUGGGAUAACGCUAGGAAACUGGUGCUAAUACUGGAUAUGUGCUCCUGCUGCAUGGUGGGGGUUGGAAAGCUCCGGCGGUUGUGGAUGGACUCGCGGCCUAUCAGCUUGUUGGUGGGGUAGUGGCCUACCAAGGCGGCGACGGGUAGCCGGCCUGAGAGGGUGACCGGCCACAUUGGGACUGAGAUACGGCCCAGACUCCUACGGGAGGCAGCAGUGGGGAAGAUUGCACAAUGGGCGCAAGCCUGAUGCAGCAACGCCGCGUGCGGGAUGACGGCCUUCGGAUUGUAAACCGCUUUCAGCAGGGACGAAGCUUUUUGUGACGGUACCUGCAGAAGAAGCACCGGCUAACUACGUG